rnacentral:tRNA from 1 species
GCUGGGAGAGCAUCUGCCUUACAAGCAGAGGGUCGGCGGUUCGAACCCGUCAUUCU